rnacentral:misc_RNA from 1 species
GAUGAAGAACGUAGCGAAAUGCGAUAAGUAGUGUGGAUUGCAGAAUUCAGUGAAUCAUCGAAUCUUUGAACGCACAUUGCGCCCCUUGGUAUUCCAUGGGGCAUGCCUGUUCGAGCGUCAUUUGUACCUUCAAGCUCUGCUUGGUGUUGGGUGUUUGUCUCGCCUCUGCGUGUAGACUCGCCUCAAAACAAUUGGCAGCCGGCGUAUUGAUUUCGGAGCGCAGUACAUCUCGCGCUUUGCACUCAUAACGACGACGUCCAAAAGUACAUUUUUACACUCUUGACCUCGGAUCAGGUAGGGAUACCCGCUGAACUUAAGCAUAUCAAUAAGCGGAGGA